rfam:Brassica napus, WGS project CCCW01000000 data, contig: 11217
CUUGAGUGAUGAUUCUUAGCCAAAAUCAGAUAUGUGCUCCAAGAGGCACUUGACUGGGGUUCUUGAGUUGAGUGACCAUAAUGAUUUCUCCUGGA